rnacentral:rRNA from 1 species
AUGGGGUAUGGUCAAUGUAAUGGUGACCACACGGUGUUCUACAAACACUCACUCUCUGAUCGGAAGAUCACCAUCCUUGCAGUUUAUGUGGAUGACAUUAUCAUCACUGAAGAUGAUAAGGAGGAAAUAGAGAGAUUGAAGGGGUGUCUAAGCAAGGAGUUUGAGGUAAAGGAUUUGGGCAACCUAAAAUACUUCCUUGGCAUUGAAGUGGCUUGGAUAGAGAAGGGAAUAUCUUUGUGCCAACGGAAAUACACCUUGGAUCUCUUGAGUGACAUGGGCAUGAUGGGAUGUCGUGCAGCCCCUACGCCAAUUGAACAAAAUCAUCGAGUGACAGCUCAAUCAGGUGAGCUGGUGAAUAAGGAAGAUUAUCAGAAAUUAGUUGGGAGGUUAUUGUACUUGUGUCAUACCAGGCCUGACAUUACGUAUGCCGUGGGUGUGGUGAGCAGAUACAUGCAUGAACCAAGGAGUGGGCAUCUUGAUAUUGUGCACAGAAUUCUGAGAUACUUGAAGGGGACUCCGGGUAAAGGGUUGUGGUUUGCGAAGAGUGGACAUCUUGAGGUGGAUGGCUAUAGUGACUCUGAUUGGGCCAGUUGUCAAGAUGAUAGAAGAUCAACUUCUGGCUACUGUGUGUUUGUGGGAGGAAAUUUGGUGUCAUGGAGAAGCAAGAAACAGACAGUUGUGUCUAGAUCAACAACAGAAGCUGAGUACAGAGCAUUAUCUCAAGGGUUGUGUGAGAUGCUCUGGGUGAAGUACCUACUGAGCGAGUUGAAACUUCUGAGGAAGGGCCCCUUGAAGGUGUGGUGUGACAAUCAGUCAGCUAUAGCCAUUGCUAAUAACCCAGUUCAACAUGAUAGGACAAAGCAUGUGGAAAUUGAUCGCUUCUUCAUUAAGGAGAAACUUGAUGCUGGGAUCAUCAGCCUUGGUCAUGUCAGUUCUGGGCAGCAGUUUGCAGAUUGCUUAACAAAGGGACUAGGAACAAAGGACUGUAACUUGGCAUGUGACAAGAUGGGAAUGAUAGAUAUCUACCACCCAUCUUGA